rnacentral:lncRNA from 10 species
UAAAUGACUCCAGCAGUUUGCUUUGGGUGUGAAGUCUUUAAUUUUCCCAGAGAUGGUGGAAAUCCGAUUCUGAGUGAAAGUGACAGUUAUCAAUUACUGAGUUAUUUUCAACCUUGUCCUCAACUGGGAGCCUUCAGAUGCCCAAACAUUCUGAAAGAAGCCAGUGCCCUUCUUGAAGCUAUAUGUGGCCAAGAAGUCAGAGAGGCUGAAGGAUAAUCCAGGGGAAGAUAGAGUAGUUAUAGGCCCACCUGCUGCCUCACAGUAACAACGUUAAUCUGCACAUCUGUGACAUCACAGUUGAGCUACAAAAUUACUACUGCUUUACCUCUGUUGAACAAAUUUCACCCAAGACUCCCUCCUGUGGUCCACACUAACCAGAAGUUUACAAGGAAGGCAGUCCUAGGAAAUGAGCAGCCUAACCAAGUUGACACAUUACAAAGUCAUCAUGCUCUCUAAGACCCUUCAACCUGGAUUUCCUGCCAGCAACUCAAUAUAUCCCAAACAGAAUUCUUCAAAACCUGCUUCUCCUUCUGGGUCACCCUAUUUUGUUUUUUAACAGUGCCACUUUCCUUCUAUGCUUAAAAUUUUCUAAUCUUGUUAACUCCCCCUUUUCCUUUCUCAUAUACCUCUCAUGCUACCACCAAUCUAUAACAGUUCUAUCAUUUUUACCUCUGCAGUGCCCACCCCAGGUGGAUGAGUUCAAACUCAACAGGUGAUUAUACAAUCCCACACAUUGAUUUCAUAUUUAGUUUGAUAUAAGCCCCCCUUCUGGAACCCCAAAAGAAGGAAAAGGCCAUUUUCCUCUCCAAAAGCACAUACAGGGGAGUGAGUUAUAACGAGGAGCUAGUAUGCUGCUAUCAUUAUUUAAACCAAGAAAACCCACUGUAGACAAGAUGAAGGAUCUAAUAAAAAUGUGUUCUUAUUCCUGAUUCUAAAACUUUAACAGCUGGGCUUUCCCAUGUGGAAUAAUGUUACAUAAAUAACUCAGCCAGGAAACAGAGGGGCUGUGAAGAAGUCCAACAAAAUGAUAGAUGAUCUUGGACAGUCUUAGUAUCACACCCAAUGGAGUUAGAAGGAAAUAAGUGCAUUGAAGGUACGGGUGAGCUAUGUUGUUAUGUGUGAGCAGCAAACUUUACAGAACCUGACAGUUAUCUGAGUCAUGUAUCACUAAUUCUACAGAAGUUUUCUUUCUACUUAAGUAUAUUAACACUCCCUAAUCUAUUCCAUAGGGACCUUUUCUGCUCCAUCCAAAUUUGUCAUCUUUUAAUUAGUCAUGGAAGUCUAGAUAAAGCGGGUUUCAGAAAAUAAACAUGUUGAGUUUUAAAACUA